rnacentral:rRNA from 1 species
AACGAACGCUGGCGGCGUGCUUAACACAUGCAAGUCGAACGAGAAAACCCUUCGGGGUGAGUAGAGUGGCGCACGGGUGAGUAACACGUAGGUGACCUACCAUUUAGCGGGGGAUAACACGGAGAAAUUCGUGCUAAUACCGCGUAAGCAGUACAACUUUGAAAGGAGUACUGGAAAGGAUGCUUCGGCAUUCGCUGAAUGAUGGGCCUGCGUUACAUUAGCUUGAUGGUGGGGUAAUGGCCUACCAUGGCUACGAUGUAUAGCUGGUCUGAGAGGAUGAUCAGCCACACUGGAACUGAGACACGGUCCAG